rnacentral:pre_miRNA from 3 species
UCUUAUGGAUGAGCAAAGAAAGUGAUUUCUUGAGAUGGGAGAUACUCUUGGUGAAGAUGCUGUGAA